CGGAAUGUGGCUCAAGUUGGGAGGCGUUACCUGCGGAGGGUUUGAGGCACGCCCAGGAGCGAGCCCACGGUCGGCCGACGCGGGGCCAGGGGCGGGCCCCAGGAUCCGGAGCUUCGGGCGGGGCCGAGUCUGGGUUUGGGGCCCGGGAGGCGGGGCCAGUUAGGGCGAGGGUCCCUGGGAUCGUCGGGUCAGGCCUUGGGCUAACGUAGACACUCUCGCAGUACCUCCGCCUUCAGGAAGGUCUUUUUAGCAGGGGCCUUACAGGUGCACGCUUCGGUCCUGGAGGCCUUAUCCUAACCUCUCCAUCAGCGCCACCCGUCUGGGGCCCGAAAGGAGGGAGCUUUCCCUCUGUCCUCCAGCCUUUGGACUGUCUCCAAACAAGCCAUUCGUUCACCAAAUACUUAUUAAGCACCUACCAUGUGCCUGACAAGGGAGAUGUAACGCUGUUGUUCCCCACCAGAACCAAAUGAGCGCAAGAUCUGACAAAGAAAAAAAAGGUUCAUCUUUUAUUCCCCCAAACACUUUCAUUUAAAUCAAGAGGAUGGGAUGUGGUUAUUGCUGUGUUUUUAGACAGAAUCAACGGUUUCUGUGUCUGAGAUGUUGCAUACACCCUCUCAGUCCCUCUAUCCUGAGAUGGAGUCACCUGAGGAUCCACAGCAAGUCCUAACCAGGGAUGGGUCUGGGUGAUUAAGGAAGGUUGGCUUCAGAACUGGGCCAGGGGCACUGCUUUGCUUUUGCUGUUUUGAUCAGCUCUCUGCCUGCAGGAGACAAGGAAAACCAAUGGGAACAGCCCAGUAAAGGCUCCAUUCCCCAUUUUACAGCUGGGGAAACUGAGUUACAGAGCUUUUCUGCACUGAGUCAUCAGGAGCAAAUGCUAGAUCAGAUAGGGUCUCUCUCUCUGCCACCCAGGCCAGAGUGCAGUUGACGCAGGGCAGGGGAGCCCCGAAGUGGAGCAUAGUGUGUCCGGAACUGGUGGGUUCUUGGUCUCACUGACUUCAAGAAUGAAGCCGUGGACCCUCACGGUGCAGGAAUGAGAGGCAGCAGCCGGGGAAGCCAGGGUCUCCGGAAGUCCUUGUCUCUGGGCGGUGAUCCAGAGAGAGAGAGAGAACACGAUUGUCUCAGCAAUGGGUCUUCUUCUGAGUCUUGAAGGAGCACUUCCAGAGCCUCUCAGUGUUAAACAUCGUGUUGUGAAUGACUCCGUGAGCUCUGACCCAGUGACCUUGGGGAUAAAGGAGGGGAGGUACGGAUAAGCUCUUCGAAUGGAUGUUGCCGGGGUGUCAGUGUUCUUUGAGGGCACAGACUAUGUGUCACUAAAGAAAGAGCCCAGUGCCUUUUCUCAUUGCUCAAGAGAUUGAAGGGGUAGUAAGAAAAGAUGUUAAGUUAUAAACACGUUUCAGUUUUGGUACCAGUUGAACCAAUUUACGUUUUGAAGAGGAAAGAGUCUUGCCUACAAUGUCAGCCCCCGGGUUUUCCUUCUGCUUAUGGAAUCCAGGCAAUGGGCAAAGAGAAAAAGAAAACUAAGGAAUCAGCCAGGUGCAGUGGCUCAUGCUUGUGAUCUUGGCACUUUGGGAAGCUGAGGCAGGUGGACUUCUUGAGUGCAGCAGUUCAAGACCAGCCUGGCCAACAUAGUGAGACCCCGUUUCUACAAAAAAUACAAAAAGUUGCUGAGCAUGGUGACAUGCACCUGUAGUCCCAGUUACUUGGGAGGCUGAGGUGGGAGAACUACUUCAUCCCAGGAGGCUGAGGCUGCAGCGAGCCAUGAUCGUGCCACUAUACUCCUGCCUGGGUGGCAGAGUGAGGCCCUGUCUCAAAAGAAAACAAAAAAGAUAAAAAGAAAACUAGGGAAUCUAGACAGCAUAAGUUUAUAUAUAUAAUAAAGAACUGAGAUAGAA
rnacentral:lncRNA from 1 species